rnacentral:rRNA from 1 species
UACGGGGGGAGCAAGCGUUGUUCGGAUUUACUGGGCGUAAAGGGCGCGUAGGCGGUCAGCACAAGUCAGUUGGUGAAAUCUCCGGGCUUAACUCGGAAAGGUCAACUGAUACUGUGCGACUAGAGUGCAGAAGGGGCAACUGGAAUUCUCGGUGUAGCGGUGAAAUGCGUAGAUAUCGAGAGGAACACCUGCGGCGAAGGCGGGUUGCUGGGCUGACACUGACGCUGAUGCGCGAAAGCCAGGGGAGCGAACGGG